AUCCCAUAAUGCACUGUUAGGUCUUUACCCACUAUAAGGCUAUUACUGGAAGUGAGGGAGCCUGACUGCUGUUGCGUGUGCUAUUUAGCUGACAAAAAUGUUGGGCAACCAGGCUGUAGACUUUUAUCACUGGCAUGUGGAAAGGGCCUUCAUCUCCCAUGAUGCACUAUAAGGGUUGACCAUAAGAGAUGAAGGAGUAUCACAGAAGGCGACCACUCCAGCAUCAACGGGAGGAAAGGAAAAAAGAAUGAGAUCCUGAUAACCCGGCACAGCUCUCUCCAGAGCCAACUGAGAAUCACUGCAGACAGAUUUCCAGCAUGAGAUGCUCCAGGAGCA